UACGAAGGGGGCUAGCGUUGCUCGGAAUCACUGGGCGUAAAGGGUGCGUAGGCGGGUUUUUAAGUCAGAGGUGAAAUCCUGGAGCUCAACUCCAGAACUGCCUUUGAUACUGAAAGUCUUGAGUAUGGGAGAGGUGAGUGGAACUGCGAGUGUAGAGGUGAAAUUCGUAGAUAUUCGCAAGAACACCAGUGGCGAAGGCGGCUCACUAGCCCAUUACUGACGCUGAGGCACGAAAGCGUGGGGAGCAAACAGG
rnacentral:rRNA from 1 species